UACGGGGGGGGCAAGCGUUGUUCGGAAUUACUGGGCGUAAAGGGCCAGUAGGCGGCCAACUAAGUCGGAUGUGAAAUCCCCAGGCUCAACUUGGGAACUGCAUCCGAUACUGGAUGGCUUGAAUUCGGGAGAGGGAUGCAGAAUUCCAGGUGUAGCGGUGAGAUGCGUAGAUAUCUGGAGGAAUACCGGUGGCGAAGGCGGCAUCCUGGACCGACAUUGACGCUGAACGGCGAAAGCUAGGGGAGCAAACGGG
rnacentral:rRNA from 1 species